UACGUAGGGUGCAAGCGUUAAUCGGAAUUACUGGGCGUAAAGCGUGCGCAGGCGGUUUUGUAAGUCUGUCGUGAAAGCCCCGGGCUCAACCUGGGAAUUGCGAUGGAGACUGCAAGGCUUGAAUCUGGCAGAGGGGGGUAGAAUUCCACGUGUAGCAGUGAAAUGCGUAAAGAUGUGGAGGAACACCGAUGGCGAAGGCAGCCCCCUGGGUCAAGAUUGACGCUCAUGCACGAAAGCGUGGGGAGCAAACAGG
rnacentral:rRNA from 1 species